AUACGGAGGGUGCAAGCGUUGUUCGGAAUUACUGGGCGUAAAGCGCGUGUAGGCGGUUUGGUAAGUCAGAUGUGAAAGCCCUGGGCUCAACCCGGGAAGUGCAUUUGAAACUGCCUUUCUUGAGUAUGGGAGAGGAGAGUGGAAUUCCCAGUGUAGAGGUGAAAUUCGUAGAUAUUGGGAGGAACACCCGUGGCGAAGGCGACUCUCUGGACCAAUACUGACGCUGAGACGCGAAAGCGUGGGGAGCAAACAGGAUUAGAUACCCCAGUAGUCC
rnacentral:rRNA from 1 species